UUUUAUAGAUGAUCAAAGGAAAUAGUUUCUUCAGAUGGAAUCUACUCCUGGUGAAGAUGUUAUAAA
rnacentral:pre_miRNA from 1 species